rnacentral:lncRNA from 1 species
ACCUGUGGAUGUUCAUCUCCCGUGGAGGGCGGUGGGCCUUGUCGUAGGAGACCUUGGCGAAGACGCCGGCCACGAUGACGAAGGCGAUCACCCCGCAGGUCAUGGUUGAUGCCUGGGAGCCUCCUGGAACUCACCCCUACAGACCAAAGUCACAGAAAUCUCAGCUUCUGCUGUUUCUUCCCUGUGUGGGGCGUCUAUUGUGAUGAUAGAAUCCUAAAAUGCUUGAACUGAAAGGAACCCCGGGGAUCACCACUCGCCCUAUUUCUUCGUGUUAUAGAUGAUGAAACUGACGCCCAGAUAAAUUAGAGUCCAGCAAAAGUUAGUGACAAAAUUACGAAGCAACCUAGCUUAGAAUGCAGGCAGAAGAUGGGAAGGAGGAGGUGGUAUUUUUUGAACUCCUACUGUGUGCCAGGCUUAAAACUUGCAAUCCCAUUUAAUUUUCAACUGAGGGCUUUUCAAAGCAAGGGCAGUGAUGGUACAGGAAAGGGGUCCCGAUCCAGACAUCAAAAGAGGGUUCUUGGAUCUCAUGCAAGAAAGAAUUCAGGAUGAGUCCAUAGAGUAAAGUGAAAGCAAGUUUAUUAGGAAAGUGAAAGAAUAAAAGAAUGGGACUACUCCAUAGACAGAGCAGCCCCAAGGGCUGCUGGUUGCUCAUUUUUAUGUUUUUUUUUUUUUGAUGGUAUGCUAAACAAGAGGUGGACUAUUCAUGCCUCCCCUUUUUAGACCAUAUAGGGUAACUUCCUGACCUUACCAUGGCAUUUGUAAACUGUCAUCGUGCUGGUGGAAGUGUAGCAGUGAGGAGUGAGGACGGCCAGAGGUCACUCUUGUCACCAUCUUGGUUUUGGUGGGUUUUAGCCGGCUUCUUUACUGCAACCUGUUUUAUCAGCAAGGUCUUUAUGACCUGUAUGUGGUGCUGACCUCCUAUCUCAUCCUGUGACUUAGAAUGCCUUAACCCUCUGGGAAUGCAGCCCAGUAGGUCUCAGCCUCAUUUUACCCAACUCCUAUUCAAGAUGGAGUUGCUCUGGUUCACACACCUCUGACAGUGAGUCUCUACGUGGUUGAAGGACUUGGCCAAUGUCACAAAGUGCCCAGUGGAGGAGCCAGUAGGGAGGAGGCUGUGUGGCCUCCCUCUGAAGCCCCAGUUUGUUCUUUAUUCUACAGCCUGGUGAAAUCUUGAAAGUGGACUCUAUCUGCUCUGAAAGCACUCAGAAAUGGAAGAGAAAGUAAGGUCUUCCCUCAGUGACAUGGCCUGCACCCUCUCACCUUGCCCAGCAACUGCUUCUGUUCUCUUGCUCUGAAUUGUCCUUUGCAACCUACUAAGGCAUGUUGCCUGCAAGGAUCAUUUAGAAUGUUGGACAAGGCUCCUCGAGAUCCCUAGCAGCUAGGCCCAUAAUCUCAGCACUGUGAUUCAACUCAGGUUUAGCAUAUACAUGCCUAUUUUUGUUUCUUCACUAGAAAGCUGUGUUGCUAAAGGAGGUGGGAAAUUCACUUGGGUUUACCAAAUAGGAAAUCAGUCUAGAACCAUCUUUGUGGGCUGGGUCCCACCCCAGAGCCCUUUCCAAACACAUGAGGAUUGCAAUAGUGGUAUUUUCAUUUCUGCCUCCACUUCUGUGGCAAAUGGGAUUUCAAGGUCACAAAAACAAUCUCAUUUUUUACGCUCCUUGACUCUUUGUAUUCAUGGUUCAGUAUUAAUUUUGUUUAUUCUAGUUGGUAUUACUCUUCAGCUUUCUAUGUGUCUACAUGUGUCUGGUACUUGUACAAUUUGUUAUAAUCAACCCAGUAAUGUGUAUAAACAUCAUUUUGAUAAUAUCUGUCUUCCCCCAUCAAAAUAUAAGCAAAAUUGAUGCCAAAGGUUUUCACCAUGAUACUCCAAGCCUCUAAUACAGUGCCUGGUAUAUGGCAGAUGCUC